rnacentral:rRNA from 1 species
AACGAACGUUGGCGGCGUGGAUUAGGCAUGCAAGUCGAACGAAUCCCUUGGGGCUUGCUCUGAGGGGGAAGUGGCGAAAGGGGCAGUAAUGCGUGGGUAACCUACCCUGAGGUCGCGGAUAGCCUUUCUAACGAUUGGGUAAUACGCGGCGUUGUAACGAGACGGCAUCGCCUCGUUACUAAAGAAUUUCGCCUCGGGAGGGGCUCACGUCGUAUUAGCUUGUUGGUGGGGUAACGGCCUACCAAGGCGAAGAUGCGUAGCGGGUGUGAGAGCACGACCCGCGCCACUGGCACUGAGACACUGGCCAGACUCCUACGGGAGGCUGCAGUCGAGGAUCUUCGGCAAUGGGCGCAAGCCUGACCGAGCGACGCCGCGUGUGCGAUGAAGGCCUCGG